GCGAAAGGGGUGGCAGGAGUCGGAGUGAGACGGGGGGGUAGAGCGUUGGUCGGGAUGACUGGGCGUGAAGUGCGUGUAGGCGGUUAUGUAAGUGGGGUUCGAAAGCCCCCGGGUCACCCGGGUACCUGCAAUCCAAACUGCCUGACUUGAGUAUGGGAGAGGAUAGGGGAAUUCCUGGGGUAGCGUGGAAAGGCGUAGAUAUCAGGAGGAACACCGGUGGCGAAGGCGCCGAUCUGGCCCAAUACUGACGCUGAGGCGCGAAAGCUAGGGGAGCAAACGGGAUUAGAUACCCCAGUAGUC
rnacentral:rRNA from 1 species